GGGAAUGAUGAUAGCUCAGUGGUAGAGCAUACGUCUUGGAAGCAGAAGGUCCCAGGUUCAAUUUCUGGCACUUCCU